AUAGCAAUCCAUGAAACAAAUUCGGAAAAUACCCAAAGAAGGCGGAAAUUAAAAUUACAACGCAAGAUUUUGAGAGAUGCGUUCAAUCCAUUCGAACUCGAUGACAAAGUAUUUAAAAAAAACUUUCGGUUGAAUAAGGCAGCAUUCAAAUACAUAUUGGAGGAGCUGGACCAAGAACUUGAUCCGUGUGUCUUUUCUUGUUCAAUUUCACCGAUCAGCAGGCUGGCAGCGGUUUUGAGAUUCAUUGUGGAGAUAGGCUACCAACACGGGGUCGGCAAGGAUUUUGAAAUUGGAAUGGCCCAGUCUACUUUUUCUACAAAUCUCAAAAUUGUUCUGAACAUUUUGGAAAGAAGACUGUGUCCUGUAUGGAUCAAAUUAGAAACUACCGAAGUUGAGAAACGUCAAGCAAAGCUUGAUUUUUACAACAAAGCAGGAUUUCCAGGAACUAUAAUGUGCGUGGAUGGAACCCAUGUGAAAAUCAUUACACCAGCGGAAGAGAAGUUUUUGUACUUCAAUAGAAAAGGGUACUUCAGCAUUAAUGCCAUGGUGAUUUGUGACAACAAAAUGCGAGUUAAGUUCAUAGACGCAAGAUAUCCGGGAUCAAAC